AGGGUGUGGGGGCCCCUCCCGCGGACAGCAUCAGCUCCGCGCCUUGGCAGACGGCUCACUCGGGCUCGGCGCGCGCCCUGCGAGGUUGCGCUGUGUUCUCAUUUCACUAGUUUGGAGGCUUAGGCAGAGAGGCGAAGACAUUAGUCCAAGGUCACGCAGCUGGUAAGUGGGAGCGCCCAGCAUGGGACCCAGCACCGGCCCGCUGCAGAGCCUGCGUUCCACCCACCCCGCCGCCGCCUCCUGCGGGAGGGGGAGGUGGUCGGCAGGGCUCGUCGCCGGGACCACCGGGGCUCCAGGCUGGGUGCGACCACUAGCCCUUUGAAUGACCUCGGGCUUAACCUCUCCGCCGCUCUGGGCCUUGUUUCUCCACCUGUGAAAUGAGGCCCUUUGGAUGGGGAGUUGGGUAAGGACUAGAUAGCAUAUUUCCCCUUGGAGGAAACCUCACCCGGUUUUCUGGGCCACCCCCUCAGGGUCUCCACCACCCAGCUCCAUGCUUCGAAUCCUGCUCUCUGCCCAGACUUCCCCUGCUCGGCUGUCUGGUUUGCUGCUCAUCCCGCCAGUACAGCCCUGUUGUUUGGGACCCAGCAAGUCCGGGGACCGGCCUUUUGGAGGAGGCCCUGUGCAAGGCCUUCAACGGCUUCUGGAGCAGGCACGGAGCCCUGGGGAGCUGCUGCGAUGG
rnacentral:lncRNA from 1 species